UGGGGAAUCUUGCACAAUGGGGGCAACCCUGAUGCAGCGACGCCGCGUGAGCGAUGAAGCCCUUCGGGGCGUAAAGCUCUUUCGACCGGAACGAUAAUGACGGUACCGGGAGAAGAAGCUGCGGCUAACUACGUGCCAGCAGCCGCGGUAAUACGUAGGCAGCAAGCGGUGUUCGGAGUUACUGGGCGUAAAGAGUGCGUAGGCGGUUUUCUAAGUUCGGUGUGAAAUCUCCCGGCUUAACUGGGAGGGUGCGCCGAAGACUGGGAAGCUGGAGUGUGGGAAAGGCAGGCGGAAUUCCUGGUGUAGCGGUGAAAUGCGUAGAUAUCAGGAGGAACACCGGCGGUGUAGACGGCUUGCUAAUCCAUAACUGACGCUGAGGCACGAAAGCGUGGGUAGCAAACA
rnacentral:rRNA from 1 species